CGAGCAACCCGAGAACGCCCAGUGUGUGUCUAUGUGUUUACGCAACGGAUCGUCCCGUUUGGAUAUUGUUUUUGAUUCUAGGUGGGAGAAAAAAAAGAAAAAAUCUCUAUAGCAAGAUCAGCAAAUGUCAAAGACGGAUGCUUUGUUCGAUUAAUAACUUCGAGUGAUCGUGGAUGAAAUGGAAUGAUUGUAUCGCACCGCGAUACUGGCCUCGGCACGGUGACGAGUCUUUGUCCAGGCCGCUUAUAAAACGAUGGCGUCAUCAUCGAUUCCUUGGACCGCGCUACAACGGAACCCGCCAGCCAUUAUUACUGAUCGUCACCCUCCGAAACUAAUUCGCCGUCAGAUGGUGAUUCAUAAUAGUUUGAAAAUUGUGCUUUUUCUAUGAAAGAAGAAACAGCGAAGGUCAGCAAUUUAUUUGCAUUACUUGGUUAACCUGGAGUUUAUUAUUAGUAGGAGUAGUAGAAUUCAUCGUUACACGGUCGGCA